CCUACGGGAGGCAGCAGUCGAGAAUCAUUCACAAUGGGGGAAACCCUGAUGGUGCGACGCCGCGUGGGGGAAUGAAGGUCUUCGGAUUGUAAACCCCUGUCAUGUGGGAGCAAAUUAAAAAGAUAGUACCACAAGAGGAAGAGACGGCUAACUCUGUGCCAGCAGCCGCGGUAAUACAGAGGUCUCAAGCGUUGUUCGGAAUCACUGGGCGUAAAGCGUGCGUAGGCUGUUUCGUAAGUCGUGUGUAAAAGGCGCGGGCUCAACCCGCGGACGGCACAUGAUACUGGGAGACUAGAGUAAGGGAGGGGGAACCGGAAUUCUCGGUGUAGCAGUGAAAUGCGUAGAUAUCGAGAGGAACACUCGUGGCGAAGGCGGGUUCCUGGACAUUAACUGACGCUGAGGCACGAAGGCCAGGGGAGCGAAAGGGAUUAGAUACCCCAGUAGUC
rnacentral:rRNA from 1 species